rnacentral:rRNA from 1 species
UACGUAGGGUGCGAGCGUUGUCCGGAAUUAUUGGGCGUAAAGAGCUCGUAGGCGGUUUGUCGCGUCGGCCGUGAAAACUUGGGGCUUAACUCCAAGCUUGCGGUCGAUACGGGCAGACUUGAGUUCGGCAGGGGAGACUGGAAUUCCUGGUGUAGCGGUGAAAUGCGUAGAUAUCAAGAGGAACACCUGAGGUGAAGACGGGUUGCUGGGCCAACACUGACGCUGAGGCGCGAAAGCCAGGGGAGCAAACGGG